GUGACCUUUGAUAGGAGAAUAAGGGAGGUAGGUCAUUUCCUUGGGAAUUCUAAUGGCUUUGUGACUUCAUCCUUGCAGGCUAAAGUAUCAGUUACUGUCAGCUAUCAGUUAUCAGAAUGAAGAUGCCUUCCUAGAAAUAUGUUGCUCUUCAGUAGGGCUCCGGGACUCUGGGGAACCUUCCCUCUUUUUGUAGACAACUCUUAGAAAUGCAACUGGAAUGGGAAGCCUUUCUGAAAUGUCUUUCUGGAGAACUUGAACAGAUGAAACAGCUGUCUUAGAAAAAUCUAAUGAGACAAUACACCUGGAAAGAAGGAAAGGAGAUGACAUGCCUUGAGCUGAUAAUUCAGAAGAUCAGCGCUGACAUCUCAAAUAAGUAGGCCAAUCAAAAUACUACAAGAUUUUGCAGAUUAACACAGAAAUGGAAUGGAACAAGCACUCAGAGGAAGUCAGGAAUACUGUAGAUGUGCUCGUUUUUUUCUGACUCAAAUCUUGUACCCAAAAUGAAUGGAAGAUAGAUCUCAGUAAAUAUCGGACAGCAUUUACAAAACCAAGAGAGACAGCAUGAUUUGUUAACAAAAUGGUCACAAAAGGGGGUUGAAAUUUACUGUUUGCAAUCAACAGCAAGAUUAAGAACAAUUCAGUUACUUUCUGGACCAGUCAAGUUACACCUGGCAUCAUUACGAUUUUCUACCUUGUCUGUGGC